rnacentral:lncRNA from 10 species
UUAUUCAUAAGCUCAGUCUUAGCUUCAGUCUUUUCUGAGCAUUUGUUUAUUUGUAAGAUGGAAGUCAAAGUAAGUGGGAAGUCUGUAGGUCAGCUCUAUUUUCCAUGCCUGCCCUUGACUUCUCCUCAGCUGUUCUCUGCCUGUGCAGGUGAGGCAGCGGAGGUGGUUGGUCCAGAGAGAACUAAAAGAAGUUGUUUUCUUGGACUAUAGGUCCAGCUGCAAGGCAGGGUGCCUUUCCUAUGUGUUCCUCUUUUCACUAAAAGACUCAAAAUGCUUUAGCAGCUAGAUCUGGAACUAACUCUUCUGGAUGGGGUAGGAACUUCCCUGCCCUUCCCUUAGGGAAGCUCAUGUUUCCAAGUCAGACAGCAGGGGGCAUUGGGUGCCUUUCGGACAGAAGGAAGCUGCCUAAGCUAGAAGGCCUGCCUGCUGGAGUUUAUUUCUUUUGCCUUGUUCAGUGAAUUUACCCAGAGGGUGGCUGAGAUUGAGGCUUUGGGAGCCCCAAGAAGCUGCUUGGUUUUAAUGUGCUGCCUUAUAGCUGAGCCUGUUGUGCUCAGGGCAAGUAGUAGGAUGUUCCCCCUGGGAUGUGCAAGGUUCUCUCAAGCAGACAUGAGCCUCCAUCACUCCCACCACUCCCUGCAACUCAGCCUCCUCUUCUCAGCCUGUGCCUUCCUCCAGUUCUAGUAAACACUGCCAAAUGAAUAUAGUUCUCCGACUCUUCUCUGGGGGUUCAUUGGCAGCUGCUGCUUUCUUCAUUUUUUAAAAUUUAUUUGCCACUUGGUGAAAGCCACUGAGAUGGUUUUUUCCAGCCUUGGGCAAGUUGGAGCUUUGGAAUCUGGAGUGAAUGAGGUCAUCUGGAUUUCAUUGUCUUCUUACGAAGCCAGCAGUAAGCUUGGGCAGUCCACUCACCCACCCCUAGGGCCAUAUCUGGGGAUGAAGCCACCCCCGACCUAUACAUAGGAAAUGAUUGAUGUGCCUGGUCUUAUACCCAGUCUGUGUCUGGUUUCUCUACCCUCAGUGCCCUUUGGCUUAGGCUCAGGAUGGGUGGGCCUCCCUUCCCCAGCAGCUGCCUCAGCCCUGAUCAAGGGCAGUUAUUUGGCUCAAGGUGAGUAGUGGUUUUUAAACCCUACUCCCACACACUGCUGAGUCUGUGUUUUCCUUUCUUCCUGACCAGGUAAACUGUCUUGAGCCCCACCCUCACCUGCCUGUGCUGGCAACCAGUGGCCUAGACCAUGAUGUGAAGAUCUGGGCACCCACAGCUGAAGCUUCCACUGAGCUGACAGGGUUAAAAGAUGUGAUUAAGAAGAACAAGCGGGAGCGGGAUGAAGAUAGCUUGCACCAAACUGACCUGUUUGAUAGUCACAUGCUGUGGUUCCUUAUGCAUCACCUGAGACAGAGACGCCAUCACCGGGUAAGCUAGGGUUGGAAAUGAAUUCCCAAGGGAGUGACCCUUUUAAGAGGGCUAAAAAGUUCCAGAGUAGUGACUUCAAGCAGUAAUCAGGUGAUCUUGGUCGGAUUUCCUAUCCACUGUCCUCUGUCCCCAUCAGAUCCCUGAUAUAGCCUUGGAAGAGACAUCAGCAGAAAAGGGUGGUAUCUACUUUUGUCCAUUGCCGUCCAUGUGUAAUGCUAUCUUCAUAAAGGCAAAAGCUGGAGGGUGGAGGAGGGAAUUGAGAAGAAAUAACAAGUCUCAGUGUGACCCUUCUAUUUUUCCUCUUAUGCCAAAAGAGGCCUAGUUCAGGGGUUGGCAAACUGGCAGUUGGCCUGCUGCUGGUUUUUGUAAAUAAAGUUUCAUUGGCUUGCAGCCAUACCCAUUCUGUGUAUUGUCUGUGGCGGCCUUCACGCUACAAUGAGUUGAAUAGUUGCAAUAAAGACCAUAUAGACCAC